AGUGAACGCUGGCGGUAGGCCUAACACAUGCAAGUCGAACGGCAGCACAGUAAGAGCUUGCUCUUACGGGUGGCGAGCGGGGGACGGGUGAGGAAUACAUCGGAAUCUACUUUUUCGUGGGGGAUAAUGUAGGGAAACUUACGCGAAUACCGCAUACGACCUACGGGUGAAAGCAGGGGAUCUUCUGACCUUUCGCGAUUGGAUAUGCCGAUGUCGGAUUAGCUAGUUGGCGGGGUAAAGGCGGACCAAGGCGACGAUCCGUACCUGGUCUGAGCGGAUGAACAGGCACACUGGCAGUGAGACACGGCAGCGACAUUGGCGCGGGGAAGCAGUGGGGACUACUAGGCGAUGCGGGAGAGCCUGAUCCAGCCAUAUCGCGGGGAGGAAGACGGCGUUCGGCUGGGAAAACCAUGUUGUUGGGAGGGAAAAACAGCAGUUUAAUCCCCCACUGUACUGACGGUACCCAAAGAAUAAGCACCGGCUAACUUCGUG
rnacentral:rRNA from 1 species